AUAAAGAGAAACAUCUGGCCAUCUGCCACCCCACUGAUCUUCAGAGUGGACUGGCUGAUCUGGCUGACUAGGUGGGUGAGGGCUUCCUGCCUCACCACUGCAUGUGUAUCCCUCCUGGAGCCACAGCCUGGGAGAAGACAACCUGUGGGGGACAGUUUCCUGCCAG
rnacentral:snRNA from 1 species